rnacentral:piRNA from 1 species
UCAAAUGUCUAGAAUAUAAAAAAGGAAAGUU